CCCUGGCCGCCUACACCCACUAUACAUCCACAAACCCGUGUGCACUGUCUUGGAGAAAGGCUUCAGAGAAGUUUUUUGUGGCCUCUCUUGGGGUCUUUCUUCGCUACAAACUCGAAUGGUUAGUAUGAACGUGGAACUUGGUUGGACCGUCACUGGCCAACAAACUAUACACAACUUUCGACAACGGAUCUCUUGGUUCUCCCAUCGAUGAAGAACGCAGCGAAACGCGAUAGGUAAUGUGAAUUGCAGAAUUCCGUGAAUCAUCGAAUCUUUGAACGCACCUUGCGCUCUAUGGCAAUCCGUAGAGCAUGCCUGUUUGAGUGCCAUGAAAUCUCCCACCCCAAGCGGUUUUUAAAUGAAACGGCUUGGCGGAUGGGGUCUGGAUGGGUGCCUCUGCCUGCGCUACCUAGCACAGGCUCGCCCGAAAUGCAUGAGCGCCUUGAGACACUUUGCAUCCGCCUCUCUGUUUGGGAGGAGGCGGCCAAGCAGUGUUUUUCUCCUGGCAUGGCAUGAUACGUCAUUUGCUAUGUCGCCUAAAGGAGGAAUGUUUGGUUGUGUCUGCGUGUGCUUCGAACUUGCCUCUG
rnacentral:sRNA from 1 species